UCUUUGGUGGUCCAGUGGUUAAGACUCUGCAUUUCCAAUGCAGCAGGUGUGGGUUUGAUCCCUGGUUGGGGAA
rnacentral:tRNA from 1 species